rnacentral:rRNA from 1 species
UACAGAGACUGCAAGCGUUAUUCGGAUUCACUGGGCGUAAAGGGUGCGCAGGCGGCCAAUUGUGUGAGGCGUGAAAGCCUGGGGCUUAACUCCAGAAUUGCACCUCAAACUACAUGGCUAGAGCAUUGGAGAGGGUAGCAGAAUUCACGGUGUAGCAGUGAAAUGCGUAGAUAUCGUGAGGAAUACCAGAGGCGAAGGCGGCUACCUGGACAAUUGCUGACGCUCAGGCACGAAAGCGUGGGGAGCAAAAGGG